GCCCGGGUAGCUCAGACGGCAGAGCAGCUCACUCGUAAUGCGCAGGUCAGGAGUUCGAUUCUCCUCCCGGGCUCCA
rnacentral:tRNA from 1 species